rnacentral:pre_miRNA from 1 species
GCACUGAAAGUGAGAGUUGGAGGAAAACAAACAGAUCUGGCCAACUAAUUGUGGUCGCCGAUCAGCUUGUUUUCCUCCAAUAUCUCACCUUCGGUUG